GAUGAAGAACGUAGCGAAAUGCGAUAAGUAAUGUGAAUUGCAGAAUUCAGUGAAUCAUCGAAUCUUUGAACGCAUCUUGCGCUCCUUGGUAUUCUGAGGAGCAUGCCUGUUUGAGUGUCAUUAAAUUCUCAACUACACUGACUUUGAAUUGGUGUGGCUUGGAUUUGGGGGGAAAAUUGUUGUGGGCUUUUUGUAUAGUCUGCUCCCCUGAAAUUGAUUAGCGGUACCUUUGUGGAACUGUCUACAGGUGUGAUAAUUAUCUACAUCUUAGACAUCUGCUGGAAUGCUGCUUUCUAAACCUUACUUGUAUUGACAAUCUUGACCUCAAAUCAGGUAGGACUACCCGCUGAACUUAAGCAUAUCAAUAAGCAGAGGA
rnacentral:misc_RNA from 1 species